rnacentral:rRNA from 1 species
AACGAACGCUGGCGGCAUGCCUAACACAUGCAAGUCGAACGAGACCUUCGGGUCUAGUGGCGCACGGGUGCGUAACGCGUGGGAAUCUGCCCUUCGGUUGGGAAUAACUGAGAGAAAUUUCAGCUAAUACCUUAUAAUGUCUUCGGACCAAAGAUUUAUCGCCGAGGGAUGAGCCCGCGUAGGAUUAGGUAGUUGGUAGGGUAAUGGCCUACCAAGCCGACGAUCCUUAGCUGGUCUGAGAGGAUGAUCAGCCACACUGGGACUGAGACACGGCCCAGACUCCUACGGGAGGCAGCAGUGGGGAAUAUUGGACAAUGGGCGAAAGCCUGAUCCAGCAAUGCCGCGUGAGUGAUGAAGGCCUUAGGGUUGUAAAGCUCUUUUACCCGGGAUGAUAAUGACAGUACCGGGAGAAUAAGCUCCGGCUAACUCCGUG